rnacentral:rRNA from 1 species
GAUGAACGCUGGCGGCGUGCCUAAUACAUGCAAGUCGAGCGAACAGAUAAGGAGCUUGCUCCUUUGACGUUAGCGGCGGACGGGUGAGUAACACGUGGAUAACCUACCUAUAAGACUGGGAUAACUUCGGGAAACCGGAGCUAAUACCGGAUAACAUAUUGAACCGCAUGGUUCAAUAGUGAAAGGCGGCUUUGCUGUCACUUAUAGAUGGAUCCGCGCCGAAUUAGCUAGUUGGUAAGGUAACGGCUUACCAAGGCAACGAUACGUAGCCGACCUGAGAGAGGGAUCGGCCACACUGGGAGAGGGACACGGGCCAGACUCCUACGGGAGGCAGCAGUAGGGAAUCUUCGGCAAUGGGCGAAAGCCUGACGGAGCAACGCCGCAUGAGUGAUGAAGGUCUUCGGAUCGUAAAACUCUGUUAUCAGGGAAGAACAAAUGUGUAAGUAACUGUGCACAUCUUGACGGUACCUGAUCAGAAAGCCACGGCUAACUACGUG